UUUGGAAAAGCUUUACAGGCACAGAGCACCAUCGCAUUGGUAAACACAGUUUUGACAAGCUUAGGCCUCCUGGCGUUGCAUGUUUACUUUCAGGCCCAAGUAGGAUGGUGACGAGCUUGAUCUCCGGUGGAGUAGCAGGAAUCGCUGCCUCAACAGCGGUGUUUCCAAUCGACUUAACUCGAGGGCGACCGGAGAUGGACACCGGCUUACAAGCCUGGGAUUGCGAGCGCGCCGAGGCACAUUGUUCGCACCCAAGGCUACGCUGGGUUGUACAGGGCGAUUUUUCCUGAGUACCUCAAGGUUUUUCCGGUCCCCGAUUCAUUUCCAACCGUCAGAUAUUCUUGAAUCGACGGCCUUGGUUGAAUUUCCAGCAAAUGUUUAGGGUUCUUGCGAUGGAUGAGACUUGGCGACGGCAGCGAUUCGAUGCGCCGCACCAGCAUUCGCUCCUUCGGCAGCGCCGCCGCGGGCGCCCGAUCA